UGGGGAAUUUUGGACAAUGGGCGAAAGCCUGAUCCAGCAAUGCCGCGUGUGUGAAGAAGGCCUUCGGGUUGUAAAGCACUUUUGUCCGGAAAGAAAUCCUUGGCUCUAAUACAGUCGGGGGAUGACGGUACCGGAAGAAUAAGCACCGGCUAACUACGUGCCAGCAGCCGCGGUAAUACGUAGGGUGCAAGCGUUAAUCGGAAUUACUGGGCGUAAAGCGUGCGCAGGCGGUUUGCUAAGACCGAUGUGAAAUCCCCGGGCUCAACCUGGGAACUGCAUUGGUGACUGGCAGGCUAGAGUAUGGCAGAGGGGGGUAGAAUUCCACGUGUAGCAGUGAAAUGCGUAGAGAUGCGGAGGAAUACCGAUGGCGAAGGCAGCCCCCUGGGCCAAUACUGACGCUCAUGCACGAAAGCGUGGGGAGCAAACAGGAUUAGAUACCCUGGUAGUCCACGCCCUAAAACGAUGUCAACUAGUUGUUGGGGAUUCAUUUCCUUAGUAACGUAGCUAACGCGUGAAGUUGACCGCCUGGGGAGUACGGUCGCAAGAUUAAAACUUAAAGGAAUUGACGGGGU
rnacentral:rRNA from 1 species